UACGAAGGGGGCUAGCGUUGCUCGGAAUUACUGGGCGUAAAGGGCGCGUAGGCGGCACUGUUAGUCAGGCGUGAAAGUCCUGGGCUCAACCUGGGAACUGCGCUUGAUACGGCAGAGCUAGAGGAUGGAAGAGGGUCGCGGAAUUCCCAGUGUAGAGGUGAAAUUCGUAGAUAUUGGGAAGAACACCGGUGGCGAAGGCGGCGGCCUGGUCCAUUACUGACGCUGAGGCGCGACAGCGUGGGGAGCAAACAGG
rnacentral:rRNA from 1 species